AGGGCUGUAGCUCAAUGGUAGAACAUCUGCUUUGCAUGUAGAAGGUCCUGGGUUCAGUCCCAACAUCUCUG